GACUGCUUUGUACCUUAGCCUGAUUCGCUCCCAUCCGUUGGAUCGUACCUCACCCCAACUGCCGGGCCAGAAACUCUUUCAUUCCGUCCAGGAAACAUGUUUUAAGAAUUCAUUUGGAAGCCUUUACAGCGCAGCAAACGCUUUUUUUGUGCGUACCCAACCGUAAAAUGUAUGCGAAACUUGUAUGGUGGCUUCAGCGGUUCGUAGAUCUUCGGCUCAAUCUUCUCGCCGGUUUGGGAUCAGUUGCCUCGUCCCAAAGAAAUGGCGUAUUCGCUCGUGUUCGUUGAAAAUCGCGCCGUGGACGCGGCUUAUUCCCGGCGCACAUCACUUCACGAAGGCUCCAUCAUCAAAAGGACAACACGUCCUCACGCUCGUUCUACGAGGCCCUCUUUGACCUCCGCUUUCACCCCCUGAAGGCUCUCCACAGCCGUAAGCGCGCAGCUAAAAAAAUCUGCCUAAGGCUUGCGAUUGCUUGAUGAGACUUGGGAAGGCAAUUAACGGACAACCGCGACAGGCCGCGACCCCGCAAGGAUUCGCCAACAACUGCCCGGUCGCGACCGUCCAAAGGGUUCAUCCACAGGUCAAACGGCAAUUAUGCGAUUCCAGCGUGGAUGCAGCCAAGGUUCUCAUUUAGUCGUCUGUCUGCUCGGAUCGCGCUCGCUACGAGUAAUAGUCUGGACUCUUCUGGACCGCAACUUAAACCUAGCCACUUUCAUGAAGGAAUCAAUUUUUAUUGCUCCAGUGCUAAUUGCGGUAUAUUACCUAUAUAGCCUAGUUUAGUGUAGCGGGAUGUUUACGUGCAUGCGACAAAAGCACGUACUGCAAGAAAAGCGCGACGAUAGAGGAGGUACGGCACGGCGAGCAACGGCUUGCCCGCACGCGCCGCUGAGCGGCGCCGCAAACGGUUUAGAAUCGAGGUAUUCCAUCUUCAAGUUUUAACCAGUGUUUUAUUACUCGAUCGCGCGCUUCAUUCGCGAACUAAGCCCAGACGGCUUAUGCCCAGACGUCGGUUGUGUUCGGGGGAGCACUGGCUAGGCAUCGACGCUGUUACGAAGGCUCCUCUGCCGUUGCCUCAACACCUUUGACAGACCGCAGGGAUCUGCUGUGAUGUGAUGAAGGAGGAUGCGCCCGAGGUGUUCUUUUGGGUGUGCACUCGGGAAGGUGGAUGUCAUGCGCAAGUCCGCAGAGGGAAAACAUUUCCGAGCACGUUUGAAGUAUGAAGAAGCACCAACUUGCUGUCGCUGAGACAAUAAAACGCGACUGACAAUGUAAGCGAUUAUUAAACUAUGUGCUCAUAGUAUUUUCACAGGAGAGAAACAUUUUAGCAAGCGCUCUAUCGAGAUCUAGAUCCGCACGUUCAUCGGCAGCUGGGGCCCUCGUCGGCCAUCACAGCUUCACAGACUAGGAUUCGUCGACAACGCGGUGCUAGCUUUGCUUCGUAGAAUGAUUUACUUAAAGGUUUAAACAGGCA
rnacentral:lncRNA from 1 species